GGGUUCCUACGGGACGCAGCAGUGAGGAAUAUUGGUCAAUGGGCGGAAGCCUGAACCAGCCAAGUCGCGUGAGGGAAUAAGGCCCUACGGGUCGUAAACCUCUUUUGCCGGGGAGCAAGGGCGGGGACGUGUCCCGGCCCGGAGAGUACCCGGAGAAAAAGCAUCGGCUAACUCCGUGCCAGCAGUCGCGGUAAUACGGAGGAUGCGAGCGUUAUCCGGAUUUAUUGGGUUUAAAGGGUGCGUAGGCGGGCUUUUAAGUCAGCGGUAAAACUUCGGGGUUGAACCCGGUCCGGCCGUUG
rnacentral:rRNA from 1 species